GAGUCGCCUGUGGGUUUGGCUCUGGAAGGGUGCCGUGUGGCCAAUUAAUUCUGAAAGAAUUUCGCGUGGCAGUAAGUCCCGCUGGGAGAAUAUGAACGCGAAGAGGGAGUGAAUGACGACGGUGAGGGAUAAGGCUGGCUUAAAUUCGCUCUGAAGAUUAGUAUCGCGCGGCUGCAUUGCCCCUCCCAAGGCCAGAAGUCAAAUAAGAAAUGAGAAAAAAAAAAUGCACCCGUGCGAGGAUGACCGGCUCUUCGGCUUCCUGCGGCCUCCCGUGACUCAAAGCUGAGUGUACUAUACGAGAAAACAUGUAAACAAAGUCACUGCACAGUGUGAAUUGAUCUUUCGCCAAAUGUUUACCCUCAGAUAUGGGAGUUCAGAGGACAACCUUUUAAGUAGGGAAGAGUUGGGGUGCGCAGGUGGCUUUAGCAGCCUCACAAAGUGUUCUGGUUUUCAUCUGUUUGAAGGUUCACCAAUGGUCAGAACAUUGAUACACGACUGUAAAGUAAAACCAAGCGGAGGGAAGUGCCGGUCUCAAACACCAGAAGUUAGGUUGAGUGUUUGUGUAAAAGAAAGGACUCUACACGCAGAGAGAGAAGAGAAAGGACCAACGAUAGUCCAUAUCUGUGGACUGAUAUGAUCUGCAAGGUAGCCACAUCUGGACCUAAUGGAGAGAACUUUGUGUCACUCAGUUAUCCUGGUCUUUGAGCUGGGUUUAGUCUCUGAAAGAUGGAACUUUGAAGUCAUACCUCUUAGGUAAGGGAUGAAUUUUCCCUAUUUGGGAAAAAGGGUGCUCACAGAUCUCAGGGAUGGAAGUGGUGGUCUAUGGCAGACUGCUAGAUGUCCUCCAAUAGCUGUUCUUCCCCUUUCUUUUAAUCUAUGAUGAUAGAACCUCCAAUGUUUUAUUUGGACAUAAGGUCACUCCAGGGCUUCCCUGGUG